UGUGAGCUCGAUGAGUAGGGCGGGACACGUGGUAUCCUGUCUGAAUAUGGGGGGACCAUCCUCCAAGGCUAAAUACUCCUGACUGACCGAUAGUGAACCAGUACCGUGAGGGAAAGGCGAAAAGAACCCCGGCGAGGGGAGUGAAAAAGAACCUGAAACCGUGUACGUACAAGCAGUGGGAGCACAGAGCAAUCUGUGUGACUGCGUACCUUUUGUAUAAUGGGUCAGCGACUUAUAUUCUGUAGCAAGGUUAACCGAAUAGGGGAGCCGAAGGGAAACCGAGUCUUAACUGGGCGUUAAGUUGCAGGGUAUAGACCCGAAACCCGGUGAUCUAGCCAUGGGCAGGUUGAAGGUUGGGUAACACUAACUGGAGGACCGAACCGACUAAUGUUGAAAAAUUAGCGGAUGACUUGUGGCUGGGGGUGAAAGGCCAAUCAAACCGGGAGAUAGCUGGUUCUCCCCGAAAGCUAUUUAGGUAGCGCCUCGUGAAUUCAUCUCCGGGGGUAGAGCACUGUUUCGGCAAGGGGGUCAUCCCGACUUACCAACCCGAUGCAAACUGCGAAUACCGGAGAAUGUUAUCACGGGAGACACACGGCGGGUGCUAACGUCCGUCGUGAAGAGGGAAACAACCCAGACCGCCAGCUAAGGUCCCAAAGUCAUGGUUAAGUGGGAAACGAUGUGGGAAGGCCCAGACAGCCAGGAUGUUGGCUUAGAAGCAGCCAUCAUUUAAAGAAAGCGUAAUAGCUCACUGGUCGAGUCGGCCUGCGCGGAAGAUGUAACGGGGCUAAACCAUGCACCGAAGCUGCGGCAGCGACGCUUAUGCGUUGUUGGGUAGGGGAGCGUUCUGUAAGCCUGCGAAGGUGUGCUGUGAGGCAUGCUGGAGGUAUCAGAAGUGCGAAUGCUGACAUAAGUAACGAUAAAGCGGGUGAAAAGCCCGCUCGCCGGAAGACCAAGGGUUCCUGUCCAACGUUAAUCGGGGCAGGGUGAGUCGACCCCUAAGGCGAGGCCGAAAGGCGUAGUCGAUGGGAAACAGGUUAAUAUUCCUGUACUUGGUGUUACUGCGAAGGGGGGACGGAGAAGGCUAUGUUGGCCGGGCGACGGUUGUCCCGGUUUAAGCGUGUAGGCUGGUUUUCCAGGCAAAUCCGGAAAA
rnacentral:rRNA from 1 species